AAUGAGCUAAGUGACAAAGGAAGUGAAAGUGCUACGACAGCUAGGCUGUUGGCUUAGAAGCAGCAAUCAUUUAAAAAGUGCGUAAUAGCUUACUAGCCGAGUACUUUUGUGCCGAAAAUUAGCGGGACUAAAGCUCAUUACCGAAACUAUGGAUCCUAAUCUUUUAGGAUGGUAGGGGAGCGUUCUAUGAUAGGUUGAAGCCUUACUAAAAAGAGAGGUGGACGAAAUAGAAGUGAGAAUGCCGGUAUAAGUAGCGAUAAUAUAAGUGAGAAUCUUAUUCGCCGAAAGCCUAAGGUUUCCUGGGGAAGGCAAAUCCGCCCAGGGUUAGCCGGUACCUAAGUCGAGGUCGAAAGGCGUAGACGAUGGAUAACAGGUUAAUAUUCCUGUGCUGCUAUUUAACGUUUGAGCUUGGGAGGACGUGGACACAACGAUUAGCAAACCCAGUAGACAUGGUUUGUUCAAGCUGGAGAUGCCGCUCUAGGAAAAUCCGGAGCAAUAAGGUGUCGAAA
rnacentral:rRNA from 1 species